rnacentral:rRNA from 1 species
AACAAAGUUUGACCUCAAAUCAGGUAGGAUUACCCGCUGAACUUAAGCAUAUCAAUAAGCGGAGGAAAAGAAACCAACAGGGAUUGCCUUAGUAGCGGCGAGUGAAGCGGCAAUAGCUCAAAUUUGAAAUCUGGCGUCUUCGGCGUCCGAGUUGUAAUUUGAAGAAGGUAUCUUUGGUUUUGGCUCUUGUCUAUGUUCCUUGGAACAGGACGUCACAGAGGGUGAGAAUCCCGUGCGAUGAGAUGCCCAAUUCCAUGUAAAGUUCCUUCGACGAGUCGAGUUGUUUGGGAAUGCAGCUCUAAGUGGGUGGUAAAUUCCAUCUAAAGCUAAAUAUUGGCGAGAGACCGAUAGCGAACAAGUACUGUGAAGGAAAGAUGAAAAGAACUUUGAAAAGAGAGUGAAAAAGUACGUGAAAUUGUUGAAAGGGAAGGGCUUGAGAUCAGACUUGGAAUUUUCCCACACGGGAGCUUUCCGGGCCAGCAUCAGUUUGGAUGGCGGGAUAAGUGCGUAGGAAAGUAGCUCUGCUUCGGUGGAGUGUUAUAGCCUGCGUCGAUACCGCCUGUCUAGACUGAGGACUGCGUCUUUGA